GGUUAAGCGACUAAGCGUACACGGUGGAUGCCCUGGCAGUCAGAGGCGAUGAAGGACGUGCUAAUCUGCGAUAAGCGUCGGUAAGGUGAUAUGAACCGUUAUAACCGGCGAUUUCCGAAUGGGGAAACCCAGUGUGUUUCGACACACUAUCAUUAACUGAAUCCAUAGGUUAAUGAGGCGAACCGGGGGAACUGAAACAUCUAAGUACCCCGAGGAAAAGAAAUCAACCGAGAUUCCCCCAGUAGCGGCGAGCGAACGGGGAGGAGCCCAGAGCCUGAAUCAGUGUGUGUGUUAGUGGAAGCGUCUGGAAAGGCGCGCGAUACAGGGUGACAGCCCCGUACACAAAAAUGCACAUGCUGUGAGCUCGAUGAGUAGGGCGGGACACGUGGUAUCCUGUCUGAAUAUGGGGGGACCAUCCUCCAAGGCUAAAUACUCCUGACUGACCGAUAGUGAACCAGUACCGUGAGGGAAAGGCGAAAAGAACCCCGGCGAGGGGAGUGAAAAAGAACCUGAAACCGUGUACGUACAAGCAGUGGGAGCAUGCUUAGGCGUGUGACUGCGUACCUUUUGUAUAAUGGGUCAGCGACUUAUAUUCUGUAGCAAGGUUAACCGAAUAGGGGAGCCGAAGGGAAACCGAGUCUUAACUGGGCGUUAAGUUGCAGGGUAUAGACCCGAAACCCGGUGAUCUAGCCAUGGGCAGGUUGAAGGUUGGGUAACACUAACUGGAGGACCGAACCGACUAAUGUUGAAAAAUUAGCGGAUGACUUGUGGCUGGGGGUGAAAGGCCAAUCAAACCGGGAGAUAGCUGGUUCUCCCCGAAAGCUAUUUAGGUAGCGCCUCGUGAACUCAUCUCCGGGGGUAGAGCACUGUUUCGGCAAGGGGGUCAUCCCGACUUACCAACCCGAUGCAAACUGCGAAUACCGGAGAAUGUUAUCACGGGAGACACACGGCGGGUGCUAACGUCCGUCGUGAAGAGGGAAACAACCCAGACCGCCAGCUAAGGUCCCAAAGUCAUGGUUAAGUGGGAAACGAUGUGGGAAGGCCCAGACAGCCAGGAUGUUGGCUUAGAAGCAGCCAUCAUUUAAAGAAAGCGUAAUAGCUCACUGGUCGAGUCGGCCUGCGCGGAAGAUGUAACGGGGCUAAACCAUGCACCGAAGCUGCGGCAGCGACGCUUAUGCGUUGUUGGGUAGGGGAGCGUUCUGUAAGCCUGUGAAGGUGUACUGUGAGGUAUGCUGGAGGUAUCAGAAGUGCGAAUGCUGACAUAAGUAACGAUAAAGCGGGUGAAAAGCCCGCUCGCCGGAAGACCAAGGGUUCCUGUCCAACGUUAAUCGGGGCAGGGUGAGUCGACCCCUAAGGCGAGGCCGAAAGGCGUAGUCGAUGGGAAACAGGUUAAUAUUCCUGUACUUGGUGUUACUGCGAAGGGGGGACGGAGAAGGCUAUGUUGGCCGGGCGACGGUUGUCCCGGUUUAAGCGUGUAGGCUGGUUUUCCAGGCAAAUCCGGAAAAUCAAGGCUGAGGCGUGAUGACGAGGCACUACGGUGCUGAAGCAACAAAUGCCCUGCUUCCAGGAAAAGCCUCUAAGCAUCAGGUAACAUCAAAUCGUACCCCAAACCGACACAGGUGGUCAGGUAGAGAAUACCAAGGCGCUUGAGAGAACUCGGGUGAAGGAACUAGGCAAAAUGGUGCCGUAACUUCGGGAGAAGGCACGCUGAUAUGUAGGUGAAG
rnacentral:rRNA from 1 species